UUCUCUGUCAUACAUCUGCUGUCUGUCUCCUACAUAUGGAGGGGACAGGGACCUUUGUUUUGGUGGUAGAGGAUCCUCAGGCGAGCUGUCUGCACUGAUCUGAACAGAUGACUUGGUGUGCCAGAGAUGAAGGCUUCCCCGGGCAGGAGACAUUGCCCUGUAAUAGCACAAACGAUGAGAACAAUGGCUGUGCAACUCUGGGAGACCAAAACAUGGAGCAAUCAGUAAUUCCUUUCCUGGGAUUGCUGUGUUUAAGGAAGCUCACUGAAGAGAUGGCAGCUGGGUAUUUGGAUGUUCCCAAGGCAAAAAGCUACAAUGGACUAACCCAGGAGACCCAUUGGCAUUGCAGUGCCUCGUGGCCCAGCUGUCUCCUGGAUCUGUGUAGUGACCCGGCAUGGCCACAGUGGACCUGCCAGGUGACAACCAUGAGGCACAGCAGGAGGUGAAGGCUAAGAAAGGGAAGCUGCCAGAGGAAUGUCAGAAGAAAAUCGUCCAGAGAAGCAAUAAGAACCAGAUGACUCCACUGCCACAUGGACUGCAAACAUGGAAGAAAUGUCAUGACUGGGCCAGCAGGUUUGUCACUGGCCAUGGCACAGAAACCACCUUUACCUGCCAGCCUCAGAGAGCUCGUGCUUGAGGGAACUACCAUCUCCAAAUCAUACCAACCUCCAUCCUCUUAAUUCCCCCAACUCCUCGUCCACCGUAGUAGGAAGCAUCCACCGUGGGCCACUUCUUGGAAGGCAAGGGCUCCUGUUCUUCUUCCUGAAGGCUCAUCAUAUGAAACAAAGUGGAGGAAUCCCAGAUUGUGAGGGUGCAGAUGGAGGCUAAGAUUUCCUGCCCUUGGACAGCCAGGGGCCCAAUGGAGCCCCGGAUCACAAGGGCUGCAGCACGGUCAGAUACUGAUCUAUGAGCAAAGAAAUCCUGUUGGGAGCAAUGCAUGGUGAUGGGCAAAAGAGAUUCUCUCCAUGCUUCAGACCCAAUGGAAAAGCUGCUCGCCAGUCACACUUGAGGCUGUCUCCCCGGACGAACAAGAGCUAAGAGAGCCUACACUCCUCACUCAGGCCCCAGAGUUACAGAGCAUUAACACCUCUGCAGACCUGUAACCUCUCUCCACACACAGGCUGAAGGGCCAAGCUUGUGCCCAUCUGCUCCCUCAGGGAAGAGCCAUGCCGGAAUGGGACCCAGCUGACUGUCAUGCCUGGCCCUCAGGACAUGUUAUCUACAGUGAGCAGGUGUCUGAGGGCAGGGAGGUCUCCUAGUACUUGCAAAGACACAGCUUUGCACAGCAAAGUGGAAGCAGAGGUUCUGUGCUCCGAGGUCUUGCAAUGGCAAAGUCUAAAGAGAAAUGGGGUGUGGGGAUUUCACAAGGAGUUACAGAAGUUAUUC